UGCUAAUUUUGGGAUCCCAAAGCGGACGGACGGCUCUCUCGCCGACUAGCCGUGCGCAGCGGUGCUGUGGUAUCUUUUUCUUCUUCGUUUCCUUGAACUGACGGUGGUGUGGUAUUAAUAAGCGAUUGAUUACGUGUUCUAAAAAACAAGCGAUUGAUUACGUGUCCGGCCGUUAACUAACGGAUGAGUGGGAAGACAAAAGGAAACGGAAUUGCUUCACACACGACUGUGUGCAUACGAUUCGUACGAUCCUUCCAGCAAAGCUAAUCCUUCGUGCCUGUGCCUAGAGUCCAGCCCAUCCUGCCCGUGCCUAGAGUCCAGCCCAAACCCAAACCCAAACCCAGUCUACCCAAACCCAUAAACUUUCACGCCUUCUCCUCUCCCCGCCACUGCCUUUUCACGCCUUCUCCUCUUCCCUCCAAACAUGGCCGUCCAACUCCUUCACGAUCCCUCCCUUGCUCACUAGUGAUAGUGAGUCAAUCUCACUCUUGCGUAAUCUGCAGCUAGUACAGAGAAGUUCGAUCCCUUCCUUGCUGGUCAGAAGUUUUAAAUUCGUGAUGGAGCCAAAUCUGAUUUUUGGUGAAGUAGUAGAUAAGAACAGAGCAUUUGAAGACGCUGACGAAGAUGCUUUCAUCUUUGAGGAAAUUAGGGGUUCUUCGGAUGAUCAACAAGUAGAGCAGAUCAUGAUGUUGCAGCCUAAGAAGGGGAUGACGUUCGAUAGUGAGGAUGCUGCUGUUAACUUCUCUAAAGAUUAUGCCAAAAAAGAGGGAUUUGGUGUAAUAAGAAGAACCACUAGACAUGGAGAAGAUAGCAAGCUUGUUUAUUUUACUCUUGCUUGUAACAGGCAAGGGAAGGCUCAAUAUUCAUCCAAGAACUCAUUUAAACCUAAUCCAUCAACGAGGAUGCAAUGCCCAGCUAAGAUUAAUUUCUCUCGUUGUGAGGAGAAGUUCUGCAUUACAUCUAUUACGCUUGACCACAAUCAUCCUAUAAGUCCAAGUAAAGCCAGAUUUCUGAGAUGUCACAAGAAACUGGACUUGCAUGCCAAGAGAAGGCUGGAAUUGAAUGAUCAAGCAGGAAUUCGUCUGAAUAAAAAUUUUGGUUCACUUGUUAUGGAAGCUGGUGGGUAUGGUAAUCUUGAGUUCGGUGAAAAGGAGUGCAGGAACUAUUUGCAAGAGACAAGAAGGCUGAAACUUGGUGCCGGAGAUGCACAUGCUGUCUACCAAUAUUUUCUUCGGAUGCAAUCAAAAGAUCCUGACUUUUUCCAUCUUAUGGAUGUGGAUAAGGAUGGAAGACUGAGAAAUGUCUUUUGGGCAGAUGCAAGAAAGGUUGAUGCAUACCGUGCUAGCCAUGCUGUUCAAGUACAGGCAGAAGAUCCAACAUCAAAGCAUGAAGAUACAAUGUUAAACAAAUAAAAACUUGUACUCAGUCCAAUCCCUGUUCGCAGUGCAGGCCGUCCUCGUUCAAAGAGAAAGAUAUCUAAAGUGGAUCAAGUGAUCCAAAAAUUGAGAGCAAAGAAGCGGCAGGUGCCAACAAGUACAACCGAAGUGCAGACUCAUAAGGGGAGAAAGGUAUCUAGAUUUACAGUUAUUUUUUUUCUUGCCAUUGUAACUUGCUAAAGUGUAAGAACUACCUUAUAGCAGAAUUACGUCAGCAAAUCAAAAAGUGGGCUCCAGAGUUCAAAACAAACAGAGGGAAAUAUUCAAUAUGAAGGAUAUGGGGCUGGAAGUUCUUGGUUCUUUCUAAAUGAGUUUCAGGAACUACAAACAGAUGAGCAUGCUACCCCAACUCAUAUCAUUUCUUACAUUGAUAUUCUCCAGGGAAAGAAAAAUGCCAUGGAUCUGCUAGCUGCCAACCUGAAGGAAUGAAAAAUACAUGCUCUGGAGUCUGUUGUACUUCUGAAUGGAUUUGACGACAAUGUCGCUUAUAGCAUUGGAUGCCUCCAUUUAUUUUCAUUAAUGUAAUCGUAUUGUGAGAGCCAUCUGUCUGUGUCAUCUAGAACAGCUUGUGAGUACUAAUUUAUCUCUUUUGGAGACAGAGUUAUC